UGAGCUGGGGGUGGCCGCAGAGACCAGCGAGAAGCGACUGUUUACUAAAAACACAGGUCCGUGCGAAGCCGUAAGGCGAUGUAUACGGACUGACGCCUGCCCGGUGCUGGAACGUUAAGGGGACCGGUUAGUCACUCUUCGGGGUGGCGAAGCUGAGAACUUAAGCGCCAGUAAACGGCGGUGGUAACUAUAACCAUCCUAAGGUAGCGAAAUUCCUUGUCGGGUAAGUUCCGACCUGCACGAAUGGCGUAACGACUUCUCGACUGUCUCAACCAUAGGCCCGGUGAAAUUGCACUACGAGUAAAGAUGCUCGUUUCGCGCAGCAGGACGGAAAGACCCCGGGACCUUUACUACAGUUUGAUAUUGGUGUUCGGUUCGGCUUGUGUAGGAUAGCUGGGAGACUGUGAAAGCCAUACGCCAGUAUGGUGGGAGUCGUCGUUGAAAUACCAGUCUGGUCGUGCUGGAUGUCUAACCUGGGUCCGUGAUCCGGAUCAGGGACAGUGUCUGAUGGGUAGUUUAACUGGGGCGGUUGCCUCCUAAAGAGUAACGGAGGCGCCCAAAGGUUCCCUCAGCCUGGUUGGCAAUCAGGUGUUGAGUGUAAGUGCACAAGGGAGCUUGACUGUGAGACCGACGGGUCGAGCAGGGACGAAAGUCGGGACUAGUGAUCCGGCGGUGGCUUGUGGAAGCGCCGUCGCUCAACGGAUAAAAGGUACCCCGGGGAUAACAGGCUGAUCUUCCCCAAGAGUCCAUAUCGACGGGAUGGUUUGGCACCUCGAUGUCGGCUCGUCGCAUCCUGGGGCUGGAGUCGGUCCCAAGGGUUGGGCUGUUCGCCCAUUAAAGCGGUACGCGAGCUGGGUUUAGAACGUCGUGAGACAGUUCGGUCCCUAUCCGCUGUGCGCGUAGGAGUCUUGAGAAGGGCUGUCCCUAGUACGAGAGGACCGGGACGGACGAACCUCUGGUGUGCCAGUUGUCCUGCCAAGGGCAUGGCUGGUUGGCUACGUUCGGGAGGGAUAACCGCUGAAAGCAUCUAAGCGGGAAGCCUGCUUCGAGAUGAGGACUCCCACCUCCUAGAGAGGGUAAGGCUCCCAGUAGACGACUGGGUUGAUAGGCCGGAUAUGGAAGCACGGUAACGUGUGGAGUUGACCGGUACUAAUAGGCCGAGGGCUUGUCCUCAGUUG
rnacentral:rRNA from 1 species